CCCCUAGACGUUCUGGGCUGCACGCGCGCUACAAUAAUACGCACAGCGAGUAUCACCGAGCUCGAAAGGGCAAGGUAAACAAUAGAAAAGGUACUGUAAUGGUUAUAGAUCCUUGUAAUUAUUGAUCUUCAACGAGGAAUUCCUAGUAAGUAUGUGUCAUCAUCACGCACUGAUUACGUCCCUGCCCUUUGUACACACCGCCCGUCGCUCCUACCGAUUGGGUGAGCCGAUGAAACUCUCGGAUGUAGGCUGUUCAUAGCCCGCAGAAGAGAUUUGAAUCGUAGCGCUUAGAGGAAGGAGAAGUCGUAACA
rnacentral:rRNA from 1 species